AAGUCGUAACAAGGUUUCCGUAGGUGAACCUGCGGAAGGAUCAUUAACACGUAUCCAACGUUAAAACAACCCCCGUGAACUUUCAGCUUGCUCCUGUAGCCCGUGAAAACAGCAAUCCCUGGUAAAUCAUUGUUGACCAGCUUUUGAGUCAGGGACCUCUGCCGAUUGUGAUAUUUUAUAGCUACGGUUGAGCGAUUGCAUCUAUGGCGCAGUCACGAUCGCUGUAGGCCCACACGGCCGGCGACCGGGUCACCGGGCUCUGCCCCUUUACGACAACACAGUACGAAUUGGCCGCGCGUGAAAUUCGCACGGCACCAAAAACCGAACAACUGUUAACAAUGGAUAUCUUGGUUCUC
rnacentral:misc_RNA from 1 species